GAGUUUUGAUCCUGGCUCAGGAUGAACGCUAGCUACAGGCUUAACACAUGCAAGUCGAGGGGGAAACGACAUCGAAAGCUUGCUUUUUGAUGGGUGUCGACCGGCGCACGGGUGAGUAACGCGUAUCCAACCUGCCCCACCACUUGGGGAUAACCUUGCGAAAGUAAGACUAAUACCCCAAUGAUAUCUCUAGAAGACAUCUGAAAGAGAUUAAAGAUUUAUCGGUGAUGGAUGGGGGAUGCGUCUGAUUAGCUUGUUGGCGGGGUAACGGCCCACCAAGGCAACGAUCAGUAGGGGUUCUGAGAGGAAGGUCCCCCACAUUGGAACUGAGACACGGUCCAAACUCCUACGGGAGGCGGCA
rnacentral:rRNA from 1 species